AGAAUCAACGCUGGCGGCGUGCCUAACACAUGCAAGUCGAACGAGAAAGUGGAGCAAUCCAUGAGUAAAGUGGCGCACGGGUGAGUAACACGUGACUAACCUACCCUUGAGUGGGGGAUAACCUAGAGAAAUCUGGGCUAAUACCGCAUAAUACCUUCGGGUCAAAGGAGCAAUUCGCUUAAGGAGGGGGUCGCGGCCGAUUAGUUAGUUGGCGGGGUAAUGGCCCACCAAGACUGUGAUCGGUAU
rnacentral:rRNA from 1 species